GGCUCAGGAUGAACGCUGGCGGCGUGCCUAACACAUGCAAGUCGAGCGAUUUACUUCGGUAAAGAGCGGCGGACGGGUGAGUAACGCGUGGGUAACCUGCCCUGUACACACGGAUAACAUACCGAAAGGUAUGCUAAUACGAGAUAAUAUACUUUUAUCUCAUGGUAGAAGUAUCAAAGCUCUGGCGGUACAGGAUGGACCCGCGUCUGAUUAGCUAGUUGGUAAGGUAACGGCUUACCAAGGCGACGAUCAGUAGCCGACCUGAGAGGGUGAUCGGCCACAUUGGAACUGAGACACGGUCCAAACUCCUACGGGAGGCAGCAGUGGGAAUAUUGCACAAUGGGCGAAAGCCUGAUGCAGCAACGCCGCGUGAGCGAUGAAGGCCUUCGGGUCGUAAAGCUCUGUCCUCAAGGAAGGUAAUGACGGUACUUGAGGAGGAAGCCCCGGCUAACUACGUG
rnacentral:rRNA from 1 species